GACGAACGCUGGCGGCGUGCUUAACACAUGCAAGUCGAACGGAAAGGCCCUGCUUUUGUGGGGUGCUCGAGUGGCGAACGGGUGAGUAACACGUGAGUAACCUGCCCUUGACUUUGGGAUAACUUCAGGAAACUGGGGCUAAUACCGGAUAGGAGCUCCUGCUGCAUGGUGGGGGUUGGAAAGUUUCGGCGGUUGGGGAUGGACUCGCGGCUUAUCAGCUUGUUGAUGGGGUAGUGGCUUACCAAGGCUUUGACGGGUAGCCGGCCUGAGAGGGUGACCGGCGACAAUGGUACUGAGAUACGGCCCAGACUCCUACGGGAGGCAGCAGGGGGGAAUAUGGCACAAUGGGCGGAAGCCUGAUGCAGCAACGCCGCGUGCGGGAUGACGGCCUUCGGGUUGUAAACCGCUUUCGCCUGUGACGAAGCGUGAGUGACGGUAAUGGGUAAAGAAGCACCGGCUAACUACGUG
rnacentral:rRNA from 1 species